CAAACGGGUGCGGAACACGUACGCAACCUUCCUUUAACUGGAGAAUAGCCCCUCGAAAGAGGGAUUAAUACUCCGUAACAUAUUGAUAAGGCAUCUUAUUAAUAUUAUAGCCGCAAGGCGGUUAAAGAUGGGCGUGCGCCUGAUUAGAUAGUUGGCGGGGUAACGGCCCACCAAGUCUGCGAUCAGUAACUGGUGUGAGAGCACGACCAGUCACACGGGCACUGAGACACGGGCCCG
rnacentral:rRNA from 1 species